CCUACGGGUGGCAGCAGUGGGGAAUAUUGCUCAAUGGGCGAAAGCCUGAACCAGCGAAGCCGCGUGAGGGAUGAAGGUCUUCGGAUCGUAAACCUCUGUUUGCAGGGAAGAACAGACACUGUGCUAAUCAGCCGCGAAUUGACAGUACCUGCAAAGGAAGCACCGGCUCACUCCGUGCCAGCAGCCGCGGUAAUACGGAGGGGGCGAGCGUUAAUCGGAAUUAUUGGGCGUAAAGGGCUCGUAGGCGGCAUGUCAAGUCAAGGGUGAAAUCGCCGCGCUCAACGUGUGAACUGCCUUUGAAACUGGGAAACUGGAGUGUGUGAGAGGAUGGUGGAAUUCGUGGUGUAGGGGUGAA
rnacentral:rRNA from 1 species